rnacentral:lncRNA from 1 species
GGUCAGGCACAAAGUAUUUAAACAACAAAAACAUAGUAAAGAAAAUCAUCAUUACUUCAAAGCAUUGCCGGAUUCAAAUGUGUAUCCACUCAUUUGUAUUGCCUUGUCUUUUAACCUCUUAAGACCCAUUCGCCCACCGGUGGGCGAUUUGUGUUUGUUGACCACAUGUUCCCACUACGCAGCGACAUAACCCGCUUCAACUUUCAUCAUUACAGACAUUCUAUACAUCGUUAGAAAGGGUAGAAUCUCCACAAUUUAUUCAUCCGGUUUUUUUUUUUCAUAAAUCAUGAGCACAAAACCAUAAAUAUUGAUAUUAACCAGCAUGGUAAACCGGAAAUGCCAAUAAAACAGAGAGACUCCCUACCUUUGAAGCAAUCCGAGAACCGUAAUAUGUGUCCAUUCCUCAAUUAUUUAUAUUCCAAAUGUCCGUGAGAAUCCACUGAUCAAAAGCAUCCACAUGGUUUUUCAUAAAAUUAUUCCAGCUUGUGAAUAUUGUCGUGUAAAGUCCAUUUGUUUACCAUCUCCAAACUUUGUUCGUCAACUAACAUCCAGCUUUUCAAAGCCGCAUGGCUAUUUUCUCUACCUCCAGUAUGGAGUUGUUGGGUAUGCUUGUUUUCAUCACUUUGCUGGCUACAAAAUGAAAGUGUCCCCGUCUUUUUCUGUUCAGUUUUCACCCCGGUACAGCCCGUGAAGUAGAUGGAGCGCUCCCAGUUCGAAGGGCCAAUUGGCUUUGUUUACUUUGUUACGCGGCUUUAGUAUAGGGACAGCGUAUUGGCUAUUGAUAUAUCAGUCACUUGGGCUUCUAGCCAAUGAGUUUACCUUUCCAACGCUACCAGGCGUGUCCAGGUGUGAUACGUAUGAGCCGAGAUAUACAGCUGCGUCAUCACGGCAGACAACUCGCUUUGCGCAUGACAGAGCCUCCAGCGGACCAGGACGCACGCCGCACACAUUGAUCACAUUGAUUUCGCCGUUUACAAUGGCGAAAUCAACGAAGAAAACGAAAUAUUACACACAUGAAGAAGCCCUCGCUUUGAUUUUGGCUUCAUCCGAGGACAGCGAAGACAGCCAAUAUGAUUCUGAGAUAGAGGAGAUGUUCAAGCAACAAUUGGACGAAGUCUUAGAUCGGUCAAUGUCUGAGGACAGUGAUGCGGAUUGGGAGCCGCAAAGCCAGACAGGCAGACCCCCGGCCCCCACUCCUACUGAAGGUGGUCGUGAGAGAUCCGGUAGUGUCUCAUCACAUGACAAUAUCUCAAUAUGGCCAUAUCAAAUGAAUGUGUGAAAAAAUUAUGUUUUGAAUCAUGGAGAAAGGUUUUAUAGUCACCAAAAUGCUUCAGUAAUGUUUCCAGUGUCACAGAAGUGAGUAAAUGCAUUUGGCACAAUUUGGCCAUUUUGGAGACAUUUUGGAGAGGUUUGGGCCGCCAGUGACCACACACCAUAAAAACUCCAUUAACUCCCAAAGCUUUAGGCCUAGAACUCCAAAUUUUUUUCCAGGUGUAGUUGGCAUGAUGUAGAAGGUAUUUGGCAUAUUGCCAUAUGCCUUACAUAAAGCACAUCCUAGUUAUUGUAGUUCAAAUAUGACCCAUUAUUUUCGAAAACAAAAAAAUUGCUUUAGAGCCAUGUCUGAACUGAUGUCAUUUAGGUUGUGUGUAUGACACAUGCCAAAUAAACAUAUCUACAGAAACUAGAGCUUGUCAGCUUUCAAAUGAAGUAUCAUACAUCCAUCUAGGACUUAGGGUUACUGUGUUAUAAGCUUUUCCAUUUGGGUAUGUGUUUAGGCGAAAAAAACCAAAAUACUGCCGGACCUUAACAGGAUAAGAAGUAUUAUUAAUAGAAGUCGUCAUAGUAAUGGUAGCAGCAGUGGUAGGGUGGUAGAAGUUGGCAGUAGCUGCAGUAUUAGUAGUUGCAGAUGUAGUUGUUGUCGUUGUAGUACCAACAUUAGUAUAGUAGUAGUAGUAAUUGCAGUAGUAGUGGGAAUAGUAGUAGUAGCAGAAGCUGUAGUGGUAGUAGUAGCAGAAGUACUAGCUGCAGCAGUAGUAGUUGUAGAUGUAGUUGUUGUCGUUGUAGCACCAGC